CCGUGUGAACCGUGGUCGAGGGUUCGCCCUCGGCCUCGCACGCCCCCUGCGUACGCAUCUGGUUGCUUCGGCGUGGACGUUCGAGACUUGUCACGGGUUUCGGCCGUCGCCCUCCCUCCCUUCGGGGAGGAAGGUGACGUGUACCCGCCGAAAGACAUCAAACCCCUACCUUUUUAGAUGAAGUCUGAGCAUUUUGAGAAAUCAAAUA
rnacentral:misc_RNA from 1 species